rnacentral:other from 1 species
AGUAACCUGAAAUGCUUUCUUUUGCAUAUUUGAACCUACAAUUACUUUAAAAAGGGAUUCCUAUAUUUUUAUUCUGAUGUCAGGCCCCGCUUUCAUCAGGGGAAGGCAGAGGUCUAAGUGCGGUAACCCACCUGGUCUGCGACUAGGAGUCAAUUCGCGGGGAUUGCAUUUCGGGCCUUAA